rnacentral:lncRNA from 1 species
CAGAAAUUACCAACGGACCUACAGAAACCGUGCACGUUUGCGAGGAAACCUGAGAAUAUAGCUCUAAACAGAUACAACGGAAUUUAUCCCUACGAUCACUCAAGAGUAAAACUUCAUGGUUUUCAGGAAUUCUUUAUCAACGCAUGCUACAUCGACGGAUAUAAGAAGAGUAACGUGUAUAUAGCAUCACUGGG